rnacentral:rRNA from 1 species
GACGAACGCUGGCGGCGUGCUUAACACAUGCAAGUCGAGCGGUAAGGCCCUUUCGGGGGUACACGAGCGGCGAACGGGUGAGUAACACGUGGGUGACCUGCCCUCAGCUCUGGGAUAAGCCUGGGAAACUGGGGUCUAAUACCGGAUAUGACUCCAUGACGCAUGUUGUGGGGUGGAAAGCCUUGUGCGGCUGAGGAUGGGCCCGCGGCCUAUCAGCUUGUUGGUGGGGUGANGGCCUACCAAGGCGACGACGGGUAGCCGGCCUGAGAGGGCGACCGGCCACACUGGGACUGAGACACGGGCCCAGACUCCUACGGGGAGGCAGCAGUGGGGGAAUCUUAGCGCAAUGGGCGAAAGCCUGACGCAGCGACGCGCGUGA